rnacentral:rRNA from 1 species
CCUACGGGGGGCAGCAGUGGGGAAUAUUGGACAAUGGGGGGAACCCUGAUCCAGCCAUGCCGCGUGUGUGAAGAAGGCCCUCGGGUUGUAAAGCACUUUCAGUGAGGAAGAACGCCUGGUGGUUAAUACCCAUCAGGAAAGACAUCACUCACAGAAGAAGCACCGGCUAACUCCGUGCCAGCAGCCGCGGUAAUACGGAGGGUGCGAGCGUUAAUCGGAAUUACUGGGCGUAAAGCGCGCGUAGGUGGCUUGAUAAGCCGGUUGUGAAAGCCCCGGGCUCAACCUGGGAACGGCAUCCGGAACUGUCAAGCUAGAGUGCAGGAGAGGAAGGUAGAAUUCCCGGUGUAGCGGUGAAAUGCGUAGAGAUCGGGAGGAAUACCAGUGGCGAAGGCGGCCUUCUGGACUGACACUGACACUGAGGUGCGAAAGCGUGGGUAGCAAACAGGAUUAGAUACCCUGGUAGUU